rnacentral:lncRNA from 1 species
UUUGCCCCCUUGACUGGUGUCGCCCCGUUCGGCUACUCCGAAGUUCUCAGGCGGAACGUCCUCACCGAUUGUCUCCGUUAUUAAACCCCUAUUGUUGAAAGAAUUAUCCCUCGAGUCCCCUUUAAGGCGGCGGGAACCCUUAGCGGUAGUUCGACGAUCGGAGAAUUCGCAGACUGCCGUUCUACUCCUUGUACUCUUCUUAGCCCAUGGCGUCAUCUGGGGAUUGGCCUCCGGAGCAGGGGUCCGUGCAAGAGAACCCCGUGGAGAGAUUCGGGGGACUGGAGGCAGCGGAGAGCCGAUGGAGAUGGCGAGGACCAGCGCGAGGGACGCUCG